UAUACGGUGAAACUGCGAAUGGCUCAUUAAAUCAGUUAUCGUUUAUUUGAUAGUACCUUACUACUUGGAUAACCGUGGUAAUUCUAGAGCUAAUACAUGCUAAAAACCCCAACUUCGGAAGGGGUGUAUUUAUUAGAUAAAAAACCAAUGCCCUUCGGGGCUCCUUGGUGAUUCAUAAUAACUUAACGAAUCGCAUGGCCUUGUGCCGGCGAUGGUUCAUUCAAAUUUCUGCCCUAUCAACUUUCGAUGGUAGGAUAGUGGCCUACCAUGGUUUCAACGGGUAACGGGGAAUUAGGGUUCUAUUCCGGAGAGGGAGCCUGAGAAACGGCUACCACAUCCAAGGAAGGCAGCAGGCGCGCAAAUUACCCAAUCCCGACACGGGGAGGUAGUGACAAUAAAUACUGAUACAGGGCUCUUUUGGGUCUUGUAAUUGGAAUGAGUACAAUUUAAAUCCCUUAACGAGGAACAAUUGGAGGGCAAGUCUGGUGCCAGCAGCCGCGGUAAUUCCAGCUCCAAUAGCGUAUAUUAAAGUUGUUGCAGUUAAAAAGCUCGUAGUUGAACCUUGAACUUGGUUGGUUGGUCCGCCUCACCGCGUGCACUGAUCCGACCGGGUUUUUCCUUCUGGGGAGCCGCAUGUCCUUCAUUGGGUGUGUCGGGGAACCAGGACUUUUACUUUGAAAAAAUUAGAGUGUUCAAAGCAGGCCUAUGCUCGAAUACAUUAGCAUGGAAUAAUAGAAUAGGACGUGUGUCUCUAUUUUGUUGGUUUCUAGGGACGCCGUAAUGAUUAAUAGGGAUAGUCGGGGGCAUCAGUAUUCCGUUGUCAGAGGUGAAAUUCUUGGAUUUACGGAAGACUAACUACUGCGAAAGCAUUUGCCAAGGAUGUUUUCAUUAAUCAGUGAACGAAAGUUAGGGGAUCGAAGACGAUCAGAUACCGUCGUAGUCUUAACCAUAAACUAUGCCGACUAGGGAUCGGGCGAUGUUAUCUUUUUGACUCGCUCGGCACCUUACGAGAAAUCAAAGUC
rnacentral:rRNA from 1 species